rnacentral:rRNA from 1 species
UAAGGAAUAUUGGACAAUGGUCGCAAGACUGAUCCAGCCAUGCCGCGUGCAGGAAGACGGCCCUAUGGGUUGUAAACUGCUUUUGUACCAGAGAAAACCUAUCUACGUGUAGAUAGCUGAUAGUAUGGUAAGAAUAAGCAUCGGCUAACUUCGUGCCAGCAGCCGCGGUAAGACGAAGGAUGCAAGCGUUAUCCGGAUUCAUUGGGUUUAAAGGGUGCGUAGGCGGGCUUGUAAGUCAGUGGUGAAAUCUCUCAGCUUAACUGAGAAACUGCCAUUGGUACUGCAGACCUAGAGUAUAGAUGACGUUGGCGGAAUAUGACAUGUAGUGGUGAAAUACUUAGAUAUGUCAUAGAACACCGAUUGCGAAGGCAGGUAACGAAACUAUAACUGACGCUGAGGCACGAAAGUGCGGGGAUCAAACA